rnacentral:lncRNA from 1 species
CAGUGUGCAGGCUCAAGGAGAAGUCAACCAAGCACGUCGUCCUACAUUGUCCGAGGGCAAGGCUGAUUUGGAGACAGACCGAUAUCUACCUCUGGGAGUCAAGUAGUGGCCCGUGGCUAGAGUCCUUCCUGAGCACAAUUCAUCAGAGUGUGAUUGAGGGCGAGCAUUCCUACAGCAGUUAGAUUUGGCUUUCUAGAAACUGUCUAGUCUUCGAUGGUGAGGUGGCUUCAAUGCAUAGAAUACUAGAGAGAGCCCGUUGCCUCGUCGCGAAAUACCUUCGAUUCGAUGCUGCCAUUGGUCCCC